AUUGAACGCUGGCGGCAGGCCUAACACAUGCAAGUCGAACGAGUGGCGGACGGGCGAGAAAUGCAUGGAAAUCUAGCUUAUGGAGGGAGAUAACUACGGGAAACUGUAGCAAAUACCGCGUACUAUACGAUGAGCCCAAGUGGGAUUAGGUAGUUGGUGGGGUAACGGCUCACCAAGCCGACGAUCUCUAGCUGGUCUGAGAGGAUGACCAGCCACACUGGGACUGAGACACGGCCCAGACUCCUACGGGAGGCAGCAGUGGGGAAUAUUGCGCAAUGGGGGCAACCUGACGCAGCCAUGCCGCGUGAGUGAAGAAGGCCUUCGGGUUGUAAAGUUCUUUCGGUAGCGAGGCGUUAACUACAGAAGAAGCACCGGCUAACUCCGUGCCAGCCGCCGCGGUAAUUC
rnacentral:rRNA from 1 species